CUAGCACGGCCGCCCCGUCUCUCCUUGGGCACCGGGAUUUUCCCCGGCAGAGCUCUCCGGAGCGCGGCGCAGGCACUGAUCCGAGGUGACAGGUGAACAAAUCACAGGUCUUGAGUUUCUCUACCCUGCCUCUCUUGGUAACGUCAUCUCCAGUACCAUCUGCUACCUACCAGACAAACAGACCAACCACAUAAUGAGGUACCAGCUUCCACCCAGCUACCGUGACUAAAUCAGAACAAAAGAUUCAACGCCUCCUUCAACAAAGGAACACAAGUCUAAGCUGUCUUUGCUAAUUGCUGGGUUUCAGGUUGUCUGUUACAGAUUUUAAGUGAGCUACAAACUUCCAUCAAAUACUUAUAGCUGUUGGAUAAAGACACUAAGAAUAAAAGAUAAAUGGAAGCAAAAGGCAAUGAUGUUGUUCUCCUAAAAUGUGAGCCAGUUUGCUUCCUGUCAGAAGAGGAGCUGAGCUCAGCCCUUCCUCUCCUGAGCUGCUGCAGACAGACCAGCAGCUCCGUGGGCUCACUUGAAAUGGUUCGGGCAAAUCAUUCCUCCAUUCCUGGAUCACCUUCUGCACCUCUUACAUACUGAGUUAAACACUUUGGGUCAUUUUGAAGGGAAAGAGAAUAAUGAAAUUAUCUUAAUAAGGAACACUGUUCCACUUAAAAAUAGGACAUUUCUUGCCACCAAUGCUGUCCCCAAACUGUAAAUCAAUGUAUUUUAAAAGAUUUUGUUCAGUAUUCCAGGGUAGGAAACAUGUUAUAUCUGUUUCUUUUUGUAAAUUAUUUCUGUUCUUAUCUAGUUAGUAUAGAAAUGGUGUCUGAGUCAUGGGAAAUUUAAGUGGUUUGUCUCAGGAAAAUUUGGUGGUAUGCAUGUUUUGGAUGCACGUAGAGCUGCUGAAUGAAUAAUUGGCCCCUAUUUAAUGUCCUCUGCUUUAAAGCUGUCCAGUACAUUUGCUAUUUAAAAAAAUGUCUUUCAAAGCUGUUAAAUAUGUAACAAAAAGAGGUUGCUCUCCCCAUUCUGACACGAACAAAGCCAUACAGUGAGCUGCCCGAGGUACUUCCAGCAUGGGAUUAAUUACAAACACAAUCAUAAAUGGAAAUUUUCAAAGUUUUCCGAUUCUUUUUCUUUACAAUACCAGCUGAUGAGUGUUUGAUAAAAGCAAAAACAUCAGUCCAGGAAUUAGCUAUUAAAUAUUAAGCCAAGCAUUUUUCAGAGGGUAUGGGAUCUGCUGGACCUAAAAUUCCACCAUUUGCCCCUGAUGGAGUGAGAUCUCUGGCUGUCUUCAGAAGCAAACCGAGCUUAAAACAGGAGCGCACCCUCAAGAAGAUGAUCGACUAAGAAUGUGUUUUAUUUCGAUUUGAAAAACCGUCAAUCACAGACAAAAAAGACCAAAUACUGUUAUUAUAUGUACUAGCUAACUCUAUUUGUCUGGUAAACCAGGCAUAUGCAGGAAAGAGAAAUAAUGGAGUUUAAAAGGAAAAUAUUCUGAAGGUUUUGCCCAGAUGUUGUGCUGGAAUUGUUGUUCCCUGGUACAAGCAAUUGAUUUCAGAGGAAAAUACAAGCACGUAUCUAUAGAUGUGAGAGAGAAAUAAGAUGUCCAAUGUCUCACAUAUUUCAGUUUAUAUAGCCACAGCUAUUUAAACAAUUCCAAAACUGCCUCUACGGGUGUCAAAGAGGGAGGGAAAUCUUCAACCACAUGAUCUUCUCUCCAGAGUCCUGUUAAAUCCACUGAACUUAAAACAGAACAAGAAGUGUGAAAUAUGGGUUUGAACAUGUUAUGUCAGAAAUGUAAAGGUUGGAAGCCUUUUUAGUAACCGAUAUUAAUAUUGUAUUAAAUGUUAUGAAGAGGUAGGUGUUGGGGAGAAGGGCUGGGCUCAUGUGCAAUUUUGUCAAGGUUUUUAUCUGUGAUUAUGAUUCCAGAUGUAUCUAUUCCCUGAGGAGAAAAAUGAAGUAAAGUUGGCAUGUGACAUGUGUUUUAAGGUGUUUGGCACAGUUUCCCAAAGUGAUGACAAAAUGUUCAUUUUUAUUACAGUGAAUUGGUAAAGAAAACAUGAUUCUGAAGGUCAGUAGCUGUAUAUUUAAGAUAGCUUUGGAGUUUUAUUUUGGGGAAUAUAUCUUUUUGGUGAUGUGCUUAGA